rnacentral:rRNA from 1 species
AUGUACACGGCUUUCCAGGUGGACGAACAUACGUCCAAGGUGUGUUCUAUCAUGGGCAUGUCGGAUUCAGAACCUGAAGACCCAGACAAGGGAAGGAACUGCUUUGUGAAGGCAUCGAUAAGCGAAGGCGAAUACUACUGCCAAUGCUGCAAAUUCGAACGGGACGGGAUUGUGUGCUGUCACAUUCUAAAAGUAAUGGACUUGAACGCGGUGACACGAAUGCCCUGCCAUUUCAUAAGGCGGCGAUGGACUUGGGACGCUGACGACGCAUUGGCGCCGCAAACAUCAAACGCAGUUUUGGCCGUGCAUGAUGAGAGACCAGAGUCAACCAUGGAAGCCGUGAGGCACGUUGUGUUGACAAAGAACUAUGCUAAACUAAUUGAUGAAGCGUGCAAGAGUGAUGAGACAGCAAAGGUCGCAGAAAAACACAGGAAGGCCCUCAAAAGAGAGCUUGAUGAGAUCAAGAAGAGGAAAGCGGAGGAAGCCUUACACAGGUUCCCCCGCACAUCAAGUGUGCCUUCGUCCACAGGGCCUCAUUUGAAAGCUCGGAGGUGUUCUAAAUUUUGUAAAAACUGGAGAAUGACUCUUCAGGUGCAUCAGAAUCUGAAGUAA